GGCGCGCGCUCGGCAGCGAGGGGAGGGGGGACGCUCUCUCCCUCUCCGCGCGCCUUUCCCGCUCCUCCAGCCUGAUUGGCUGCGAGUAAGGGGAGGGGGCUUCGAGACAACGGGCGCGCGAGGGAAAGGGGCGGUCACGGCAGCGGCGGCGGCGCUCCUUCCCGCUCCCCCCCCCCUCUCACCGCGUUCGGACUCGACGCCUUCCCUCGCUCCCCUCACGCCGUGGGCGCGCGCGCUGACGGCCGCGUCUUUCGGUUCCCCCCUCCCCGCUUUUUCUCCCGUCCCCCUCCCUUUUAACCCUUUCCCUUCCUUUCUUUAGGUCUGCCCGCUUUUCCCCCCCGCCCGCCGCUCGCUGCUCUUCCCCCCCCCAUCCUUUCCUCAUCCGGCUCGUCGGUCAGUCGGGAAGGCAGAGAUCGGCCGUGAGGCGGUUUCUGAGGAGGCUCGCUCUGCGGAACAGCCUCGGGGGGCGAGCGGGCGGGAGCUGGCUGGGUGGGUUGCCUGCCUUGCCUGCCUGCCUUUAAAGUCGAGGGGGGGAGGGAGGCACUAAUUGCUCGCUUCUAAACGAGGGCAAGUCGCCCCUCCCUCCUUCCCCCCUCCCCAAUUUUCACGGUUUUGGUUGUGGACUCGCGGAAAGCUCCCCCCCCCCAACCUCAAAGCGCGCGCGAGGAGGGCGGGGCAGAUUCCAUCCACCCGUCUACGCCCCCCCUUUUGUUUUCAGCCCUACUUCGCAAUUUCUCCCAAUUAUUGAUCAUGAUCACCGGAAAUAAUCGGGCAGGUUAUUAAGGAGGGCGGGGAGGGGAGGGGGUAUAAACACCCCCACCCCAAUCUUUGUUCUUCGGAUUCGCAAAGCGGUGGUUUAGCGCUCUUCGUUUUGCUGUAACUUAUCCCCUUCCCCCCCUCCCACCCCACCCCCCCGUUUGAGGGUCCCCUCCCCGCAUACUUUAUUUUUAUUAACCCUCUUUCCCUAAUAGUCCAGGGAGGGGUCGGAAGAUCGACGCAUCUCUUUCUCUCCCCCCCCCGACCCCCCAACCCUAAAUUCAAAGUGCUGUUCACAGGAGGAGGAACAGGAGUCGGAAAGAAGCAACCAGAUAUUGUUGGUGCCAGGUGCAGCUUUUUAAGGGGCCCAGUUCUGAGGGAACAGAAACACAAGAGGAGUUCCCUGUACUUUGAAUCCUCAGAACCUAAGAUUCUUUUUUGUCAACCUUCAGAAGAGGGAGGAGGAAUAUAAAGUCUGUCCCCCCACAUUACUUUACUCUUCAGAGCAGUAGUUAGGCAUCACCCAUUGGGGUACCAGGAUAAUGCAGUUCACAUGACAGCUUCUUUCUUUUGGAGGCUCUGUGACCAAACCAAGCUUGAAGAGCUAAAAGGCACUGAGAGGACUUGAUUACCUCCCUGGGGUGGGGUGGGGAGAAAGAAAGAAGGUCCCAAGAAAAGCCUAUUCGCAUAGAAGGAAAAUUGAAGCAACAGUCUCUGGAUAUUGCUGCUCUUCCCACCCCCAAGCGUUGGACAUUCCUUUCAAAGGAGACCUGACGUCUGUGGGACUAGUUCAAGAUGUGUAGUUCGGUUGCUCCCAGGCUCUGGUUUUUAACGGAUCGUCGUAUUAGGGAAGACUACCCUCAACAACAAAUCUUGAGAGCACUCAAGGCCAAAUGUUGUGAAGAGGACCUGGACUUCCGAGCUUUGGUGAUGGAUGAAGUGGUCCUGACCAUUGAGCAAGGAAACCUUGGUCUUCGAGUCAACGGGGAACUCAUCACUGCUUACCCACAGGUAGUGGUGGUGCGUGUGCCAACACCAUGGGUCCAAAGUGACAGUGACAUUACAGUUCUUCGCCAUCUGGAGAAGAUGGGCUGCCGGCUCAUGAAUCGUCCCCAAGCCAUACUUAAUUGUGUCAAUAAGUUCUGGACUUUCCAGGAGCUAGCUGGCCAUGGUGUGCCUCUUCCAGACACCUUUUCCUAUGGUGGUCAUGAAAAUUUUGCCAAAAUGAUUGAUGAAGCAGAAGUGUUGGAGUUCCCCCUGGUUGUGAAGAACACACGUGGUCAUAGAGGUAAAGCUGUGUUUCUGGCAAGAGACAAACACCAUUUGGCAGACUUGAGCCAUCUAAUUCGUCAUGAGGCUCCUUAUCUAUUCCAAAAAUAUGUCCAAGAAUCCCAUGGCAAAGAUGUUCGUGUCAUCGUAGUGGGAGGUCGUGUGGUGGGCACUAUGCUGCGUUGCUCAACAGAUGGUAGAAUGCAGAGCAAUUGCUCGCUUGGUGGCAUAGGAAUGAUGUGCUCUCUGAGUGAACAAGGCAAGCAGCUGGCAAUCCAGGUGUCUAACAUCUUGGGGAUGGAUGUAUGUGGCAUCGACCUCCUCAUGAAGGAUGAUGGCUCGUUCUACGUCUGCGAGGCCAAUGCAAAUGAGCCAAAAAAGUCAAAACAAUCCAGAGAAAAACUUCCCUUCUCCCCUUUCUGAUGGCAAGAGAAAGAGCUUGUGAAAAAUCCUUGAGAAUGUUCCUCCCUAAACUUUUCCCCCCUGUGGUAAAACAGUAAACGCAGCAGUUUGGUGGCAUCCAGUACCGACCUGUUGUCAGGUAACUUUCAGCUCUUUUGAUCAUCCCAUGUUUGCUAACGUUGCUUUCCUUUCUUCUAACACCCUGGUUUUCAUAUUAUUACUGUCCAGAAAGAAUGAGGCUUAGGAAGCAUGUUGAGUUCUUCUUGUUUUUUGUUUUUGUUUUGCUUUUUUGCUAGAGCCAUGUUUUAAUAAACCUUUUCAGGAUCCAUGUGUUCAAGUAGGAUCAUGGCAAGGAUGAGUUUAAACAACAUGCACUGCUUCAGAAAGGAGUGGUGGGGUGGUGUGUAAUUCCAUAAAUUCUGCCAUCUCCACCCUCCCAUGUACCUUGUCUUGCUCUUCUCACUCCCUUCCCCCCCCUCCCCAUAUACACUCUUGGCUUAAGUUUUUACAGGGCUUUGGUCUUUCCAGGGGCACAAUCAGCACAAAACUAAUCGGCAUCAAUUAAUAACAGGUAUGAAAAACUAGCUGUACAAAAGUUAUAUAUAAAAUUAAUUUCUUAUAGCAGGGCUGGGGAGGGGAGGGUGGUUAUCAUCCUUUGUUAAGGCCAUUUGAGGGUGACGUUUUCAGGCAUUUUUAGUAUGUGCUGUUGAGGAUGGUACUCGUGUCAGUAAUACUUGGUGAUUCAAAUGAUCUCUUGAUAACUUUGAAAACAAUUUAUUAACAGCCCAAAACUUGUGUAGUGCUGCAACUGCAACCAUUUAGCCUAUAUUGAAGGUACUUUCUAAUGAGGAAGAAUAUAAUGCUUCAGAUAAACAUUCUUAAAUUCAUUUUUGUGUGUACAAGUUGGAAAUAAGUCAUUCUUUUUCGAUGUUGCUGUAUUUUAACAUUUUGUGUGCACACCACCUAAAGCAAAAUGUUUCUUUGCCAGUUUAACCCCAUAACACGUUUUGAAAUUUGUAGCUUGGGACAUCUUUUAAGCAGCACUAGUGCAGGAUUUGCCUUUUUUAUGUUUUAAGAGUUCACAGGUGUUAUUGCAUAUUAUUUUUACUGCUUCUCCUUUUCACUUGGCGUGGAAGAGUUACUCCAGAAUAUAAUUUUGUCCUUUGAUUGCUGAAAGAAAUGGUUGUACCUUUUAGAGCUAGCUGAAGAGGUCACAAUAAUAUUGCAAGCAUUUUGACAAAUGCACCCUUUCUUGUGAUACUUGUUUUCUAUGUAAAAUGGGACAAAAGGCAUAUGUGUAUAUAAAGCCUGGUGAGCAAUUAAAGCUCUCCUCUUUCGACUUGCAAACAGACUAGGGAAAAGUUCACGCUGCAGAUUGCUUCCUUUAAAUUGGCUGCGCCCUUGUGAAUUGACAUCUUAAAGGAGGUAAUCAGUUGCAGUCCCUUUGCUGAAAAUAAAAGUAUUCCCAAUGGAUUAGGGACACCUCAAGAAGCAUUGUCCCUGCUCUUCCGGUAACAUUCCUGGGAGGAGAGAGACCCAAGGGGACAGGGAGAAGGAUGAGAGUGGUGUUGAAGCAGUAGGAGUCUGUGGGAAGAGUGUUUGUGAACAGUGCCCAGCAAAGGUUAAAACAAGCUGCUACUUUCCCCCCCCCCUUUGGGAACCCAGGAAGGUGUUACGUCUUCAGUAAAAGUUGUUUGGUUUUGUGAUGUUCUAUGUGGCUCAGGUUAUGUGUUUCAGAUCUGUAGCUACUAAUAUGCUAUAAGAAAGAAUUAAAUAGCCUAGGUUCUACAGUACCUGGAAAUUAGUUGAGCUCAACCCAACCAACAAAGCUGCUGCACACACCUUCCUACUGAAAUGUAUGGAAGUCACAUGGUAGCAGCGCCAGGUGGUAUUUGCCUGUCCUAUUUUAAUCUGUCCUUUAUCCAGAUAGCUCCAUCUGUAGGGAGGCCUUCCAGAACCUGUUACUGGGUAUCGUCUGUCCAGAACUCUUUUUGAAGGGUGUGGGUGGAUAUGGGGGAAAGCUUAAAAUAAGCUUUGGUGCCUUAAAAGGAUCCCCACUGUAUGAUUUUUCUGCAAGCUGAACAAGAACUUCUUCUAUAUACCCUUGUGCUGCAACAGAGUAAUAAAACUGGUAGGUGGCAGCAGAAGAAGGAACUUAUGCAGAUGGCACCCGUGAACUGAGAAUGCUGCCAUGUGUGGAGAGAUGGAUUCCAAAACAUUAGCUGGUGUAACGUGCAAAGAUGAGAGGCAGCUACCCUGACUUGUCAAUCUGCAUGGUGAGUCUGACUCUUGGUCAAUUCUUAUCCACAAUAAUGGAUCUUUACACUCCACAGUUCUCCUUAAUCUGGAAUGCUGACUAAAAGCCAUUAUGGAGGGCUGACAGACCUGUGUGUGCUUGUCUGGAUUUCAUGUUACACAGUACUUUAAGAGAUUGUUGCUGACUAGUUUAUCACAACCUUCCCCUAGGGCAUCCCUUUGCUCAUGUUAACUAUUGUGUAACACUUUCUUCCAAAAAGUACUGCUAGAUUGUAUUUUUAUCACUCCCAUUUCAAAGACAUUUUCCAUGUAGUAUUUAUACUUCUCAUGUAUUUCAAGGUGAAGGAAAUGACUCUGUGCCAAUUUUGUUAUAACAGAAAUGGAAUGUGAAAUUUGACAUUUGAUCUCACUGUGGCCCAGAUUUUCAGUUCCAGGGAAUGUUCUGCAUUAAAUAGUCAUUGGCUCAUACUUCAUGUAGGGCAGUGUUGUGUGGAAUGAGCAGUUAGAAAUAGAACUCAUUGGGGAAAAUUGUCAGCAGCUGAGUGGAAUGAGAAGCAAAUAUUUAUGAUCUUGAAACAUAUUAAAGUAAGUUUUCGACUUUCAUAUUUUCCCUAUUGACGUUUUCCAAAACUGCCCCUUGAAACUUCAUAUGUUGGAAAUCAAUUGUAGCUGUACAAACAAUUGUCAUAAGAGAUCUUUUACAACUACUUGCUUGUGAUCAUUACUGUGCCCGUUAAAAGGUAAAGGGACCCCUGAUCAUUAGGUCCAGUCGUGACCGACUCUGGGGUUGCGGCGCUCAUCUCGCGUUAUUGGCCGAGGGAGCCGGUGUACAGCUUCCAGGUCAUGUGGCCAGCAUGACAAAGCCGCUUCUGGCGAAGCAGAGCAGCACACGGAAACGCCGUUUACCUUCCCGCUGGAGCAAUACCUAUUUAUCUACUUGCACUUUGACGUGCUUUCAAACUGCUACCAUAGGUUGGCAGGAGCUGGGACCGAGCAACGGGCGCUCACCCCAUCGCAGGGAUUCAAACUGCCGGCCUUCUGAUUGGCAAGCCCUAGGUUUAGUGGUCACAGUUAAUCUGGGAGUUAAUGUGCCACAGAUUUUAACCACAAUAUAAACAUUCAUAAUAAACCUAUGAGAUGUUUCCACCAAAUGUUCAUGGUUUGCCAUCUGAACAGCUUUGUGUAAGAUAAGUAGAGUUAAUGUGCAAAUGAAUGGCUGCUGUGAUUGCAGGAAUCACUAGAAUCCGUGCAGUACUGCUUGUGGGAAAUAGGAUUCUGUGGAAACAAUUCGUUGGUGCUGCCACAUAUGUGAACUUAUUUGGUUAAACCAAGGUGCCCCUUGCUUCUCAAUGAUUUUUUGAGUGUCUGAAAUAUGACACUUCUGAGAAGCACAACAUGAGUUGUGGGCUGCCUGUCUUAUUUCAGGGGGGAAAUUGCAUGGAAACUGGAUAUGCUUACAAGUUACCUUUUUCCACUUACAGUGCACAUAGCCUUAGAGGAAUAGGUAUCCUAAGCACCCUUCUUGCAUUUGAAGGGGCUUGCAAUAGAUAUGUGACAGACUGACUUAGAGAAACAGUGGGGUAGAUCAAGGCCUUUAUUCACAGUGCAGUGUGCAACAGUCAUAUUGGAGGUGCAGAGGGUGGGGAGGGAGAGAUGCUGGAGCAGGAGGAAGCAGUGGAGCAGGUGGCAGCUGGACAACAUUUGCUUAUCUGUCUCAGGCAGCAAAGCAUUUUGAGCAGGCCCUGGCUCCCCCCCCCAAAAAAAAAUGAUAUUUACUUGAACUUGCUGAGUGAUGGCCAAGAAUUUGGGUUGAAGUUACCUUAGUAUGUGGGUGUCAUCCAACUCCCUCUAAUCCAGAUGUGGCAACCUCAUUUCCAGUAAUGGACUGGAUGCCGGCUAAUAAAUUGAAGCUCAACCUAGAUACCAGUAAGCUGGAGGUGUGAUUGGUGGGUGGGUAGGGGGCAUUCAGUUUGUGCAAGAUGGGAUAGCACUCCCUCUUAAAUUGGUUCACCGCUUGAGUGCAGGAAGCUCCUGCAGCCAAUCGCAAGCCGCGCCUUGGUUUUCGAACAGCUUCAGGAACAGAUUAAGUUUGAGAACCAAGGUACCACUGUAUUGCAGAAUAGCAGGACUCCGGAAAGAGUGAAGUGGUCCUGGUUUUCUCCCAGUGCACCAACUUAACUGUAGUUUAAAGUGAUGUGUGAACCAGACAUUGAUUGUAUGCCUCCCUAAGCUCAUUUCGUAUAAAAACUUGCUAAAAACAAUAAAUAAAAUUAAAUGCAGUAAAUAAAAUUAAAUGCAGUAAAAGUAGUCAUGCACUAGUCACCUGUGUCUAAGGAGUAAUUUGAUAAAGAAUGUGGCUAAAGAAUGCUGAUUUCAGUGCAUACUGCAGACAUGCCUGUAGUCUUUCCACCACGCCUGCUUUUCCCAGCUGGCAUACCUGAUGAGUGUGUUCAUGUCACUGGAGGGCCAGGGGAAGCAGCUGGGAGGAAGGCUUUGUAAGUGAGAAGGAGAGAGGAGCAUUAGGAACCAGCACUGCAAUCUUCUCUGCUGCUGUGCUGCUGUUUAACAGAGACCCAAGGUGUCCGCCCGUUUGCACCCCGCCUGAUAUGUAGGUCUACAUAAGUAUUGCAGACCAAUCUCUCAGUUGAGUACUUGUAAUAAAAUGUGAUUUGUGCUUAAUAGGGGAGUAGAAAAAAGCCAGAAACACUGCAAUCUCAUGCAUUUUUAAAAAAAUGUUUAAAUCAUUGCUAUAGCGUUAGAAAUAUACAGCCAGAUCCUUCACUGAUUGAGUUAAUAUGCAAAAUUCUUCCUCUCCCACCCCCAUCUCCCUCUAUUUUCCAGAGCCUCUUUAUGUCCUGCCUGAUACAGCUUUCCUUCAGUGCCUUCAUUUCUCCAACCCAUGCUUCCCUUUGCUCUUCUUUUUCAUGAUCCUGUACAUAAGGGCUGUUGUUGUUGUUGUUGUUGUUCACAUCUGUCUGUUUUGAUAGACAAUGGAGUGCACCUCUAGGGGCGCAGCCAAAUCGCUGCAUUAGCAGUACUAAAGUGACCUCCCUGGGAAGCAAGCCUAGGCAGUGUGUAUGGAGGUCCUGGGCUGCCCAGACGACAAGACCCCCAUCUUGGCCUCGCUUUGCUGCAGGAGUUGCAGGAAGGAGAUGUAUCAGGCACCAUCCAACCACCUUAGACACUCCAUUCCAGAUUUGUGUAGGGUUUACUCCUUAGCUUGCUCUUUUCCUGAAUAUAUCUCAUAAGUCAACAGAGGUUUAGGAACAGAGUUUGCCUUUUCCUAGAUGAGCUGCCUUCCCAGGUUGACUAGUCCCAUCUGUCCCUCACUUCCCUCUACAGCACGUGCAGAAACCGCCUUCUUGACAUUUGGACCCACUCUUGCACAAUCCAUUGGAGCCUGUAUUCGCAUUCAGGGGAAGUCCUAACUCACCAAGGUUUUGAGACCCAUCAGCUACUCUCACCUGGUUUAGUCAGCCAGUCACUGCCUGUCGCACUGACAGCUUCUAGGAGACACAGGUGAGAGCUGACUGCAGGGUGGGGACGAAAGGUGGAUAAACUACCCCAGAAAGAGCAUGGCGUGUCCCCCACCAGAGGCACUGCUUCUCCCCCAGCACCCGCAUAAAGGCUAGUAAUGGUCUAAAGCCACACGAAGCUCAUGGAAGCCUUCAGUUCUGUCAUGGAAAAAAGGUGUAAUUUGAAAUAACUUAUCCAGCUUUUUUACACUGCCCUCCUUCGUGCCUCUAGGGCUCCCCUCUUCCAAGACCUCAGCUACUUUCUUUACCAGGCACUCCUGUGUCUUCUCAAGAUUCCUCCCUCUUGCUCCCUACAGCCUCAUCAGUCCUUGGGCUCCACGUGAAGCUUUUCUUCCAUCCAAAUAGAAACUUUGAACGAAAGGUGACGUGACCCUCUAUGACCAUCUAUGAGUCAAACUCAUGACAAGACAACUGUGUAUGUGUGUGUUGUUCAUAUGCAGAACAGGGGGCUAGGCUGGAUCUAUUUUUGCAUGAAAAGGGGUGUCAGUAAAGAGAAUGAAACCCCUCUUGUCUUAGCUUGCUACAUUCCAAUAUUUCUAGCAAUUCUUCGCUUCCCCUGCCCAGUCAAGUCCUAUUAGCAAAGGAAGCUGAACUGUAGAGAAACUUGCUGCAGUGGAAUGCAAUAAGAGAAGGGAGGGGCUUAGUUUCCCUCAAGUGCAUUUUAAAAGAAAUUGAAUUGGUUACCGGUACUUUGUGCAACCUGCACAAUUUAUUCCACUUGUGUCCUAACAGUCUUGAGUCCUUGGGCUACUGGAUUUUUAGUUUUGACUAAAGCAGACUCUCAAUCAUAUGGUUAGUCUGCAGGUACUGGCAAAUACUGCAAAUUCAUUUGAUAAAGGAGCCAAGAGAAUCUCUACUAAAGUGUUUUCCCCUUCCUUUCACAUGAAGAUUUCACACAGACUCACCUGUCCCUCAGAAAAGUGGGUAGCAGGAACCCCACCAGCCUCUGACCCAGUGUUUGGAGGAAUAAGCAAGAUUACAGUUUGCUCUAGAAGGCCUUGGAGGCAAAACUGCUUCUCCACGAAUUCCAGAACUGUUUUUGUUCCAAAUGACAUUUCCAGAGGCAAGCUUUGUAAUUGCAGGAGAAUAGAGUACUGUUGAGCUUGUGAAACUACUUAUGCACUCCCCCCCCCUUUCUAUGAAAUAUUUUCACAGGACACUGAUGCUGGGUCAGCAGCCCCAGAGACUGCCACUAUCUCACCUGAGGACAGGUAAUGAAUGGCAGGGGGGUGGUAAUGGUAGCAACAUGCUUGUUUGACCUGAGCUCAUAUUUUCUACUAUACCUCUUUCUUCCCCAAUAAUGAAGAACCAUCUUCAAGGCUAGUCAGUAUCCUUGAUGAGUCUCUGGUGGCUACCAACGACGAAGCCAACUACUCUGAUGGUGGUUUUUGUGCUACUUGUCUCUCCAUUCCCCCUCCCCAACAUUCCAGUUGCCUGGUUUUAUAUUACGGUGACCAUUUCUCUCUUAUUUCUGUAGGGUAUAUGAAGCAUCAAGAGACCUACCUUCUUCUUUUUAUGGGUUUUGUUCGUUGCCCUUUGUUUCUCCAGUUGUGAAGGGAAUGGUGCAGGGUGGCAGAAAAAGUCCAGAGACGGAAACAAAAUGGCAUCAGUGGGAAUAACGUGUUCAUCAUAUAAUAGAAGAUGCUCAAUAAACUGCAAUUAAAGAAAAUCAUGUGUAUGUGUUUCUUCUUCUGUAACUAACUGUGGUCAAAUCAAUUGGCUCCUCAGGCAAGUUGACCUCUAUGUUGCUUUGAUGAAACCUGCAUCCCCGUGUUAGUACUAUACAUGUGUACUGAUUCUGAAUGCAUGCCAACAGUGCACAGCUGCCUUCUGUGGAAUCUAAGGGGUUCUGCAAAGCUUCAUCUCCUAAUGGGAAUUUGUUAGAUUAUUAGAGUUUAGAGCAGGCAUCCCCAAACUGCGGCCCUCCAGAUGUUUUGGCCUACAACUCCCAUGACCCCUAGCUAACAGGACCAGUGGUCAGGGAUGAUGGGAAUUGUAGUCCAAAACAUCCGGAGGGUCGAAGUUUGGGGGUGCCUGGUUUAGAGCAUGGGGUGGGGUUGAGUUUGGGUUUUUUACUUCUCUCAUUAACAGCACGGUUCAUCCUGAUUAUUUAGAAAUUAUCAAGCCUUGGCAUUGGAAGUUUUUCGCAUGUCAAGAAACAAAUAGUUUGUGCCUCAUUCUACCUAGUCUUGCAUACCAGUCAAGACAGUGGUUUGGGGAGAGGAUUGAAGGAGGAAUCUCUAUCACAUUAGCAAGUCAUGUUUCUUUAGGGAGUCUUGUCUCGCAAAGCAGUAUCCCUGAAUUAUUGUAAUUAUGCAUUUAUUUUUGGCUGAAGGCUUAAGGCCUUCAAUUUUUUUGUUUCUAAUGGAAAGUUGCCUUAGCAACAAAGCCAAUAAAAUCAUUCUGUACAAAUACCCCACACGUUAAUGGAAUAUAGGCUAUCAUGAAUACCCAUGACAGAGAUAUAGCCGUAACCAUUUUAAGUAUUUCACCAGCUUAAGUAUUUCAAAUUUAGUAAUACUUUUAGCAGUUUUGGCCAAAUAAUGAACUCUAAAUAUAUCUGUUCAGAUCCUUUUAUCAUAGACAAACACUAAAUUGCCAUCCUAGAAGAGUGGAAACUAGUAUGGUAGUGAACAACUGAAAGCCCCAAAUUGCAUCUUAAGAACAACUUCAGUAAAGCAAUUAAUAUAAAAGUCCCCAUGUUCUUAAGUAGAGUUUCCCCUUACAAAGAGUAUUGUACCCAUCCUCGAGAGUGGUGACACCUGAGAUUAGCUACAUAUGAUAGCCUAGGGACAGCAACCCAGCUUGAAAGUAUUGUUCAGUGGCAACCAAUGAAUAGCUGAGUACCAGCAACUAAGAUCUUGCAAAGAGAAGCGGUUAAUCGCAAAGUGGGUUGGGGAAAAUCUCACAUAAGCCUGCUAGUACAUUUUAGGGAACAGUUCCUUUCGUCACUAUGGCACUGGUGGAAAAUGCUGUUUGUUAAAAUAUCCUUUCUGUGCUACUAAUAAAGCCAGGAGUUUUCUCAGUAUGCUAAGAACAUACAGAGAGCCUGCUGAAUCAGACCAAUGGCCCAUCUACUCCAGCAUCCACUUUUCACCAGAUUACCUGUGGGAAGCUAUCAAGCAGGCCUGUAUCUUGUCACAUGAAACAUACAAUUUUUAGAUUUUGUUCAUUUGCCGUAUCAAAGGUUUAUGGAGGCUGAAACCCUUCUAAUUGUUUAGUGUAAUAGUGAGGAUUGCUUUGGUGAAACUUAAAAGGAUUUGUUACUGGCUUUCCUGACGAAAACCUGAGCAAACGUGGGAUUCUGCCGCUGCAUUUUAUUCCUAUCUUUGUACAUGGUCUUGCCCAUUCUCAAAUGCUAACAGGAAGAAUGUUAUGAAAAUGUUUCUUGUAUGCAUUUCAUUCCACCUAGUCCUGCAAUCUAGAGUUUGUGGUAUUGGAAAGCAUAUUUUUGACAGAAGAGAAGCCAAAAUGAGACAUUUAAAACACCACUGCCUUGACCCAAGGAAGAUUGGUGCCUCUGGAAGGCGAUAAGAGGUUCACCUUCCUAUCCUUGAUGUCCUGUUUUUUACUCAGUAGUUCAAAUGCACAAAAUCCCAGAUACCACUCCUGCACCCUGCCACAAUAGUCCCCUGCAUUUUGUUCCCGGCCUCCUUUUACUGUAUCCACUUAUUUUUUCCAGACUUGCAUUGGAAUGGCUUACUUAGAGAAGUUUUUAGCAUUUGUCUCCUUACUCUCCCAGCAGUUGGAAAUUUCAGCAGCAGCUGCUUCGGGAUUAAUAGUUGCAAUCUAUUUACACAUACACAAGGGUAGUGAGGAUGAGUAGGAAGUAGGCACCCAGAUGGGAGAGCACUAGUUUUUGUUUUUAGUUACCUUUUUUUAAAAAACAAAAAACUUUACAACACAACAUAGGACAAAACUAUACAAAGUAUCUAGAAUAACCUUUAAAAAACAAAAGCUGCAUAUUUCAUUAUAAAGUGUUCAUUUUACAAAAAUAAAUAAAAGGAGAUAGGUUUACAGUAAAUUUGCUCCAGAGUUGUAUUUUUCAUUUGUUCUUGCAUGGUGAGUUUAAGUUCAAAAUCCACCAUUUGGUUUAUCCAUAUACACCUUAAGGAGGGUGUAACUUCUAUUCUCAAACAUCAUGCACAGAGAAUCCUGGCUGUUGUGACUAUGAGGGGUGCUAAUUCUUUGGUUUUGGUAAUUUAGUUCAUGCAGUUCAAGAGAGAGAGAGAGAGUGUGUACAGUGUAUCUAAUGGAGCUGAAAACCCUAGGAUCUCUUUAAAAUAGUCUUUCCAAUACCUUAUAUGCCAUAAAGCAUUCCUGCCAUUUUUGUUAAAUUCUUUUUUUUCAUACUUUUUAUUGAAAAUUUUGAGUGAGAAAGGGAAAGGGGAAAGACAAAAAUAAAAAAAUACUUGAAAUUGUGAUACAGUACGGAGUACAGAUAUAUAAGCAAUGCCCGUUAUUCCAACUACUGAAACACAAUGCUAGCAAGACAUAACUUUUAUAAAUGCGUUUUUCUUAAUUCUUGUCCUUUUAAAAAUUUCCAACACAUUGGAAGUUAGGUGGGGAUGAGUGAACCAUAUGGAAUGGAGGCUU